GCAGCCAUUUCCGGUUCCCAGUGUGUCCGAAGUUCCUUCUGGGUGUCAGAAAAGACACAAAAACUGACAGGGCGGAACCGCGACACGGUGCCUGCUGAUAUCAAAAGGUCUCACGGCUCCGGAGGGACCCAGUCGCCCACAGCCGCCAGGGGCGCCGCCGGCUCCGAGCCCGUUGUCGAGAGCCGCUCGGCUGCUCGGGUCUGCCCUUCAGUCCUUCCAACUCUCCUCGGACCUAGAGUUCCGGGAUCUCACUGCGAUCUGUGCGGAUUCUUAUGUAGAAUUCGAAAGGAUAUGGGGAAGGAAAAAAACAGAAAAGAGGAACCACUUUGUUUCCGCCCGGUUUCGAACCGGGGACCUUUCGCGUGUGAGGCGAACGUGAUAACCACUACACUACGGAAACCAGGCGGUGGAAAGUUUUCCACAAAUGACUCUUAAAAGUCAGAGGCUCACCACUGUGUCCCUGACCCACCAGAAAAGUACCCGGGCGGGCCACCCACAGCUUCGGGAUCGGGGCGCGCAGGGAAGUAGCCAGCAAAGCAGGGGCUCCCUAAUGACAUUGCCCCGCGGUUUUCAAGACUGACUUCAGGAUCAUCUGGGAGAGGUUGAAAGGCACAUGCAGUGUUCACCGCCUUGAACUGAAGAUCACUGAACAUGGCUUUGGUGGAAACCACUGCAGUGAUAUCAGAAAGGAAAAAAGCAAACUUCCCUGACCGGGAAUCGAACCCGGGCCGCGGCGGUGAAAGCGCCGAAUCCUAGCCACUAGACCACCAGGGAGGGGUGAUGACACACUGUGGGCAGCACCUUCUGGGCAAAGAUCUUAGGACAGACGCCUCAACCACCUCAGGCACAUGUUAGAAACCUAUAGGAAUGUGUUUAAGAAUAUUUUGCAAUGAUGUGUAUAGUACUGGAUGCAGUGACUGCUGCCUGGGCCAGAGGGUGGCAGAAGGCUUUAGGGGCAGAAACGUUGGAAGAAAGAUUGUCAUAAGUCAAGCCGGGGAAGAGAAAAAUAUUUCCCAAAUCAUUUUUGUCACAGACUCCCUCUGACAUGGGAGUUUCUCAUCUCCCUUCCUGCCUCCCUCCCUUUUUCUUUCUUCCUCCUAAAAUCUGCAUCUCCUUCACUUAUAUAGUUUCCCCACAGUUGAUUGAGAAAAAAUGUGUCUUUUUUGCCCCCCUCCCCAAAGGAUCCUAUUCCUGACCUCUAAAUAUGCCCCUCACCAGUGCAGAGGGAGGAGCAGUCAGAGCCUGGGAGACCUGCUUACCUGGAGCUGCACCCAUCUUUGAGGCCUUGCUCUGUUUCCUGGAACCUGAAAUGGAUUUACCUAUUCUACACAUUUCAUAGAAAUGAAAUCACAUAAUGUGUCACAUUUUGUCUGGCUUCUCUCACUUGGCAUAAUAUUUUUGGGUUCAUUCAUGUCAUAGUAUGUACUUCAUUUCUUCUUAUGGCUAAAUAACAUUUUAUGUAUAUACCACAUUUCCUUUAUCCAUUCAUCUGUUGAUGGGCAUUUUGGUUGUUUCCACCUUUUGGCUGUUGUGAAUAAUGCUGCUAUGAACAUUUAUGUACAAGCAUUUGUUUGAGCAUCUGUUUUUUAUUUUUUGGGGUUAUCUAUUUAGUAGUGGAAUUACUAAGUCACUUAUAUUCCCACCAGCAUAGGUAAAUCUAUAGGAACAGAAAGCAGAGUAAUGGCUGCCAGGGGCUGGGGAAUGUGGAGUAAUCACAUAAUGAUAUGGGGUUUUACUUUCUUUUGAUGAAAAUGUUUUGGAACUAGAUUGAGAUGGUGGUUGCACAACCGUGUGAACAUACUUAAUGCCACCGAAUUUGUUUAAGAUGGCUUCAUUUUUCUUCACAUUUCUGCCUAUGCUUUAUAUUUUCUGUUGUUUUAAAAAUUAUAGCCAUCCUAGUGGGUGUGAAGAUACCACUACACAUAAAUUAGAAUGUCUAAAAUUAAAGAGACAGACUAUAUGCAAUGGACUGAAUGUUUGCACACACACCCCAAGUUCAUAUGUUAAAAUUCUAACUCCCAAGGUUAUGAUAUUAUGAGGUGGGGCUUUGGGGAGGUAAUUAGGUCAUGAAGGUGGAGCCUUCAUGAAUAGGAUUAGUGUCCUUAUAAAAGAGACCCUCACCAUGUGAGGCUUCUUAAAAGACUGCUUUCUGUGAGAAAACAGGCCCUCACCAGAAACCACAUGUGCAAGCACCUUGAUCUUGGACCUCCCAACUUCCAGAACCAUAAGAAAUAAAUUUUUGUUGCUUAUAAGCCA